CGGAAGUAGCUCAGUUGGUAGAGCACAACCUUGCCAAGGUUGGGGUCGCGGGUUCGAGUCCCGUUUUCCG
rnacentral:tRNA from 1 species